rnacentral:rRNA from 1 species
UCCAGACUCCUACGGGAGGCAGCAGUGAGGAAUAUUGGUCAAUGGCCGAGAGGCUGAACCAGCCAAGUCGCGUGAGGGAAGACGGCCCUACGGGUUGUAAACCUCUUUUGUCGGGGAGCAAAGCGAACCACGUGUGGUUCAUUGAGAGUACCCGAAGAAAAAGCAUCGGCUAACUCCGUGCCAGCAGCCGCGGUAAUACGGAGGAUGCGAGCGUUAUCCGGAUUUAUUGGGUUUAAAGGGUGCGUAGGCGGAAUGCCAAGUCAGCGGUAAAAUCGCGGGGCUCAACCUCGCUCCGCCGUUGAAACUGGCGUUCUUGAGUGGGCGAGAAGUAUGCGGAAUGCGUGGUGUAGCGGUGAAAUGCAUAGAUAUCGCGCAGAACUCCGAUUGCGAAGGCAGCAUGCCGGCUCCACACUGACGCUGAGGCACGAAAGCGUGGGUAUCGAACAGGAUUAGAUACCCUCGUAGUC